rfam:Myotis brandtii contig204680, whole genome shotgun sequence.
UUCGUGCAGGGGGGCGCUCCCCUCAGCCCAGAUUGUGAGAAGGCGCAGGCCAGGUUGAGGGGCCCCACUGGUGCACA